UUUAGAGCGUGAAAUUUGUGGGUCAUAUUAUCUGAGGAGAAUGUUUUUCAUAAAAAUUUAAGAGCGUGAAAUUUGUGGGUCAUAUUAUCUGAGGAGAAUGUUUUUCAUAAAAAUUUAAGAGCGUGAAAUUUGUGGGUCAUAUUAUCUGAGGAGAAUGUUUUUCAUAAAAAUUUAAGAGCGUGAAAUUUGUGGGUCAUAUUAUCUGAGGAGAAUGUUUUUCAUAAAAAUUUAAGAGCAUGAAAUUUCUGAGUCAUUUUACCUGAGGAAUAUGCUUUUCAUAAAAAUUGAAGGAAAAUGCCUGAAAGAAAGAAGUAUGAUUGAAGCGAACACAUAUAUAAUGAAAAUUGUGAGUAUCCAUUUGUAAAAGUUAUAAUGUAUAUAAAAUAAUAUCCUGUGAACUGGAUAAAAGAAAAAGUAAGGUAUAUGAAAAUUUGCAAUAGUUCUCAAGAAGAAAGAUUUAUGGCAAAUGUACGUUAAAUAUGACUGUUUAACAUAUUUAUCACAUGUGUGUAAUAAAUAAGAUUAAGAAUUAUUAUCAAUUUUGAACAUUAUUAUUAUUAUUAUUUUUUUUUUUUUGCUGUAUAAUGCACAUGGCAUGAUUUUUUAUAACAAUUUGUUACUAAAUUUUCUAAAAUGAAUAAAGUUUAAAGUAAGUUAUUAGAAACUCAAAGUAAGCACAAUAGGAAAUAGCUAAUUUACUGCUGCUUAUUUUACAUAAGUACAUUUUAGAAUCAGUAUUAUCAAUCAACUAUAUUUGCCAACUGAGUUAUUUAUGAAUCUUUAAAAUAGCUCCGACUAAAACUUUUGAUGAAUCUAUCUGCUUUUACAUUAAUUUAAAUAGUAAUUAUGUCUUUUUAAUAAAUCCUAAGUUUACUUUCGCAUAAUAU